CCUACGGGUGGCUGCAGUGGGGAAUAUUGCACAAUGGGCGCAAGCCUGAUGCAGCCAUGCCGCGUGUGUGAAGAAGGCCUUCGGGUUGUAAAGCACUUUCAGCGGGGAGGAAGGCGUUAAGGUUAAUAACCUUGGCGAUUGACGUUACCCGCAGAAGAAGCACCGGCUAACUCCGUGCCAGCAGCCGCGGUAAUACGGAGGGUGCAAGCGUUAAUCGGAAUUACUGGGCGUAAAGCGCACGCAGGCGGUCUGUCAAGUCGGAUGUGAAAUCCCCGGGCUCAACCUGGGAACUGCAUUCGAAACUGGCAGGCUAGAGUCUUGUAGAGGGGGGUAGAAUUCCAGGUGUAGCGGUGAAAUGCGUAGAGAUCUGGAGGAAUACCGGCGGCGAAGGCGGCCCCCUGGACAAAGACUGACGCUCAGGUGCGAAAGCGUGGGGAGCAAACAGGAUUAGAUACCCGAGUAGUC
rnacentral:rRNA from 1 species